UUGGGGCACGCGUUAGACUUUGCGUCAUGUGCGCCACUAUUUUGCUUCGAAAUUUCAUGCCGAAUAUAAAAAAUUAACCUUUGUGGCUUGGUCGCUAUUGUUCAAUGACGUUGCAUGCUCGUAGCAAAGUAGCCACUCAGAAGUAAGAUUUCUCUGUAGCGCCUCUGAACUCUGGCUGUCCGACGAAAGGUUUUGCUUUGGGGGUAGACAUCGCGGAGAGGAAUGUAGGAGGUUCCGUCAUAGUAUAAAAGUUCGAAGUUGUUUCUUUAUUUUUUUACUGACUCAGGGCUUAAUUCUUGAGCGGUAAUAUUGUUACCAAGCAACCUCCACCACUUUGUAGCGAAAUUUUGGAAUGGUUUAAGCUAGACACAUUGGCUGACCAUCCAGACGAGGACGCGUGGGAGAAUUUCCACACAGGCAAACGGUGACUACCCGACACGAUGAAUCAGGGGAGCACUCAAUGGGGGUUUAUUUAUCUAAUGCAACUCACACAAUGCACUAAGUCACAAAUACAAAACAUGAAAAUUGAUGGUGGACCCUAUCGGCUUGCAUGACUGGUUUCCGAUAGUGGGAUGCGCUGUUGACCCCGAGUCAGCUCACCCCAAAAAGAUCCCGAGUGGCUACUUAAAUAUGGUCUUUUAUCAUUCACGGAUGCGUGGACCACGCGGAAGAUCACUGUUUUGCACCAAUUGGUAAAUGGCUUAUAAGGACCAAUCACGCAAUCCCAGGAUAACCAAUCCCAACACGAGUUUACAUGGUCACGUGAAUCCUGUUUCGCAACAAAACUGUAGCAGCUUCUUGAAACGGGCAAACUCUCUAAAACAGCCUUGACGCGCAAAUAAAAGCUCAAAGUUUAGUCCCUGAUUGCCCCUGAGAACCCAAGCGGUGACUCGCUCGUUUGGGACAUGGGGCACACAGUCACCGACCAGAUGCACCUUUUUCUCUUUCGACACUGUUCUUUCUCGGGGCUCCCUCUUCGAGGAAAGUCAUGAAAUAGCUCCUCUAACAAGAGCAUCUCACAAAGAAAGAACUCCAGCUGUAGUUGAAAAAGAAAAAAAAGCUUUUCGUGAGAUCUUACCUUCGCGACACCAUAUUAUAUAAGCAGGUUGGGGCACCACUUUCAGAUGUGUGCAUUGACAGCCGAGUUUGCUCUGUAACGCUGUGAUAUUAGUCUAAAUACAUAAGCACCAUUCACUGAAUGCAUCUGUGUACACAUAGUGGGCUUUGUGAGUGAGCUGAGGUACUCUGACAAUAACUCUUAUUGUAAUUUUCAUAUUUCAUUCAAUGAAAACGAAAUGUAGAGGCGUGUGUACUGUUUGAGGUCAGUGUACAUUAAACAACACCAAAGGUCAAAAUUUCUGGAGCCCUCAACUACGGAGUCUUUCAUAAUCAUAUUGCGGUCUUGGGAUGUAAAACCCCAGAUAAAGAAGUCACUCAGUCAAACGUUAGUGAUCAAGUUUCAGUAAUAGCACAUCCAUGUAGAUUAAAAUUUGUGUUUUUCAACCACGUAGGGCCAGUCCAACAGUCGUCAUGCACAGUAGCCGUGCAGAUUAAGCGGGGGCUUCUGGUGAGUAAAGCAUUGUUGUGCAUGGCGCAUAAACAUUUGACUGGCGUUUCAAAGUUGUGACUUAUGCUGCAAACAAUUUUCCUCCAAGGCACCGUAGAUAAUGUUUUACUGUAGCCUGAUUCCUUUUAUGCUUUUGCAGGGCUGAAUUAACCUUCAGUGCCACCAGCAACUUUCGUAGACGAAUCGGGAGGAGCAGCAGCAUGUGGUUUUAACAAUGUCCAGAUUAAGCAUGUGGCUCGCUCUCGCAAUGUGUGACUGUAAAUGAAAUUUGCUGGCCCUAGGUCUUUGUAAAUAAUUUUUUAUUGCAGCCUGGUGUUACCAACUUUUUGGGACUUCUCUGCACCACCGGUGUCCAGAGCAGCCGCAACUGAUCAAAAAGGAGCUGUUGUCUAUGGGCUAAGCCAGCCUUUAACUUCUCGCCCAAGCUCACCAAAUCAAGCAGGUGGAGCUGCGAACCUCACUACUGAUGAAAAUUGUGCAGACCUGUGCGAUGAAGCAACCGCGGAUGCCACUGCCGUACGUGACCCACUUCGACGGGACCCGGCGGCGUUCGUUUUGUCGCAUCACGCCAGCGAUGCCACGCCAAGCGCUUUCGAUUUCGUGGAUAAUGGACGCAAAGUGUAUCGUAUCGUGUGUCCUGCUAUGCUAUCGCCAUUGGUUUUUUCGCGUUCACAGCGCUGUACCAGUUAACGGCACACACGUGCUUGACGUGUGGGAACUUGAGUGAUCAGUUGCAUUACGGUGAUUGAAUCGUACAACAUACGCACCGACGCUCGCAUCCAGUAUCGCAACGACCACACGAAAUACCUACAACAUUGCAGCGAGCGGUUGGUAAAGUGCGGUGGAGCGCGUGGGCGUCGGGCACCUUGUCUCCGUGGGUCGUCACCAGUUACAAUUUUGUUGUGGAACGUUUUUUUGUUCACUAUUUUGAUGAUAUAUAUACAAUGCCCUACUGUAGCCAAAACACCAGCUAGCUUACGCAGUACGACGCGCAAAAAAAACGUUUCUGUGAGUUCAUACGGGCUGAUGCAUAGAACACAUACUACGUAGGCUAAAUCGUUUAUAAACAAGGAACACGCACGCUUACAGCGUCGUGUUCUUUUGAUCAAAUACAGAACCACAGGCCCCUCUCCGCCUCCUCCUUCCUGCUUUUCUUUUUUAAGUCUGUGAAAAGAAGAAAGUGCUCUGCACAAAUAUGGCAAGCUGAAUCCUGUACAGUAGAGAGUUUUAUUUUACAAUCGCUGUCCUUUAUUAAUUUUCCGUUUAGUGGGGCCGCUAAGGCCUGCUGGCUGUCUUUCGAGAAAUCAAUGGACGUACACGAUACGAACCGAGAAAUCUGUCAAACAUUGUUGUAAUCUCCAGAACAUGAGGAGGAUCAAUUGAAAUCUGGUGUCAGUACUGGUCCUCACAACUGAAAGGCAUUAUCUAUAAAUAAAUCUUAAGCUAUGAGUGAGUGACUGUUUGCAGUACUAAAGACUGUUGCCUGUGUUGUCAGCAGCUGUGCAUUUUUUAUAUAUUUGGCAUGUGAGAUCUUACAAUUUCUUUCUCACAGUGUUCCUCAAUCUAGCUCAGUCAUAUUUUUACAGUUUCCUUUCUCCAGACUCAGUGCAGUAUAGCAAACAGGAUUGUUGUGAUCAGCGAAUAACUGGUUCUUUUGUCUUAAUUAUCACAUACUCUGUGAGCAAUUUCGUGGUGUAUGUGUAUUCAGGACGUCCUAUAAUCAGAGAGACAGUCAAACAGAACUAAAAGCAAGAAAUGGCUCAGUUGGCCAGAGCAGCUGGUGCAUAUCACUCUUCCCAUAUUUCAUAUCUUUGUGACUUAUACUGCUCUACACGCAUGAAGUUCUCAUUGGAUUUCAUAUUCAUGUGGCAUAUGAACAUGUUUUCUCAAGGCUUUUCAAGCUGAAACGACACUUUUCACUUUAACUUUCACAAGAAGAUCAAUAUAUUUAGCUUAUCUGUAUUAUUAACGGCUAAAAUGGUGAUGUCCACCAGACAGGCAGUUUAUUGAUGAGCCACUGAAGGCACAAAAGUGCAAGAUGGGUGCUUCAUAGUUAAUUUAGUGGUGUAGCCAAAGAAUGGGACACUGGGCAAAUGGCCCACCCCUGAAAUUUUCAGCAAUGGGAUACCGAGAACCAAAUAACACAUACUCGACUUGCUUGCACUGAACACCAAGGAUGCCAUCUCCCUAUCCCUCCACCACACAAAGUUCCGCCUAUAUCACAGGUUAUAAGUCCACGGGUCAUGUUAAAGCAUUUUUUCAAGGUUUAUGCGACCUUAUGUAUUCAAAUUGAAACAUUUUUCUAAGAGAAACAAACAUAACUCCUUAGCAUCAGUGGCGACAUUUGUGUAUGCGAUUUCUUUAUGCUAGCUGUGUCAACUUGAGGCCCGAAUAGAGUAAAAUACACAGUUAGUUAAAUGAACUGAACCUUCUACCUAGUCAGUAUGUCCUGACUUGACCUCAGUCUGCUGCGCACAACCAUAGCUGAUCACUCUAGUGAAGGAAAAGUUAUCUUUUAUGGGUCGUUCAAAUCGUGUUCUAAAACCAACGUCAAGUGUUGCUUUUCUUCUCCCAAAGUUAAUGCAAUUAAAAACUAAUUGCACACACAUCAGGAGUUUAUAGUUUCAUUUUUUUAUGUCAAAACUAAAUAUAACUUACUUCAGAAUGAUGAAGUAUUUAAUUUCAUAGCAAUCGUAAUGGCUUGCUGAAGCUCACACAAAAGAACACUUUAUUUUCUUUCAUGGAAUGUAAUAUUGAGUGCCUUAUGAUUGUGCUAUCUCAAUUUGCCACAUUUGUUGACAGUGCUUUAUAAUUCACACCUGAAGGGGCUAUAUUCUUAGCAAAUGUUAAUAGUACUCUUCACACGUGAUUUGCAGUUAACUAAAAGAAGAGGCUUUGCCUGUCGAGCCAGUAAUACAUACUCAGGACAUCACCACUGCAAAGAUACACCGGCCGCAACCAAGAAAGGGCACACCUGCAGUGAUCAGUCCACAUUUUUCAUGUUUUCUGCUGUGCCAAUAAGGCUGGCUGAGUGAGCACUGCAUCCAGUACCAGGAGGCUGCAGCGACAAAGUCCUACUUACAAAACACUCGCCAGCUGAGACGAGAAGUACUGACGUGCCAACCAUCCAAAACAGAAUGCCGGAUAAAAGAGCGGCGAUUACUUUUACAGUCCAUAAAACAUGCUAAGACUUCGAAGUUGUAAUGAUGCUGAUCUUCCAGCCAAGUUAAAUAAGAAUACACUGAGAAAAAAUACUAAAUAUACACCAUCAGGAAAUGACAAAACAAGAACCGACGGCGCCUCGUCUUCAUCACAUGGUUAGCCUUCAACUGAUAAAGCGAGUAAUUAACUGACAAACAAUGAGUGCGCAAGGGAGAGCAGUCACAUGAGGUCGUCAGCAGUCAAAUGACACAGGCUGGAAUCGAGCUUCUUGCCAGGGUAGGCUCAGGGAGGCUGGACUUGAGGCCCACCCCCUCCCCCAAUUUUCGCUGGACCCCUGUGUUGUGUUAUGACCAUGUGUUACGACUAUGUUCCCAAGAGGAAACAUAGUGAUCACACAAUGGCCAAGUUCCCCGCCUCUCUGCUCCUCUUGAAGGACCUCGCUUAUCGUGGGUGCAGCCCCGGUACAGACCGAUCCUGGCACCAACCUUGGCUAAAAUACAAUAAAAAUAACAGAAAACUCAAAGCAAAUGUUACCACCAUACUUUGACUUCUUGCUUUUUGCGCAAAUGAAUCUAGCGAGAAGUAUGUGGAACACCAAAGAAAAGCACUACAGUCAACACAUGCUAGUACCCGCUUUCAUAAUAGUACAAAUUACUGAAGAAGCAUGCAAAGGGCAUUCCUAUGAAGCGAAAUAUCAUAAAGGAACGAGAUGCCCUGACUGAGACAACACGACAACAAAAAGAAAAAACCUUUCAGGUAUGUCAGCACUUCAUGCACAGCACUAAAAAGUCAUGAAAACCUUCCUUCGAUGCCUUUCUUGCACAAGAACCCUAAAUAGAAUACACACUGAUAGAGAAAAAAGCCAUCACUCAAAUCCGGCUCCUUUGCACUGGUGGGAGAUACUUGGACCUGGAUUCCCAACAAUUGCUUCAGUACAGCUCUUGAACAUACCCUCAAAAGUGCUGACUGCAAGUGGACGAGACAUUAAGGCAGACUACAAUGUGACACAAAGAACACGUCAACCAGCAACCAUGAACUUAUGCUAGAGUGGAUGUUGCAAGACAUCUGGGAACACUCAAUGUUCCCAACCGAAAUCUCGACCUCACCAACACAAUAAGAAUAUUCCGAUGACCUGCUGCCCAUCGCCAUGAUGUGAAACAGGGGCAUACACACACACACAACUCAUCUUUACGUGAAUAAAAUACUCUUGCUUCCAGGUUUAUAAAAACCGUCUCACCAAAUUUUUCUCUGAUAAGCUCACCACUUUCAUCGUUGCUGGGAGUGUGUUCAAAUGAAUGGAGACAGAGGGCACUGGUGGGGCUGCAUGCAGAUGGUAUUCUUCGAAUAAAUGAGCAAUGGCCUCCAUGGUCUUCUUUGACCACCUUUCACGUCUGAGCCAUUUGCUAUAUUCACGUUGACAUGUUAGUGUAGUAGUUGUGCCUAAUGAAAGGCAUGAAAGACAUAAACAUCAGUAAGAGAGGCAUGUAAGCUUUGAGAUGUCUUUUAUUAUUGCAAAUUUGAACUGUGUUAGAAAUUAAAAAACCGAAUCGUUGCUCUAAUGACACUGUGCAUAUUAUAGGGAAAUAUUUGUACUGUGUUUCAACUCUUUUUCUACAUCUAAUGAGUGGAUAAAGCCAGGCUUGCUUAAGCUAAAGUGAGGCUGGCAAGCUGAUCAGAGAAUGACAUUCAACGUACUUUCUUGUAUAACCCCUGUCAGAUCGGCUCUCUUGUUCAUUAUUAUUAUUAUUAUUAAAUGUAUAUAAAUAGGGCUCACAUUUCCUUCAAUUUAUACGGCCUUUCUUAAAAUCUAAUGCUGUGACUUGUUACAAACAACUUUUUCAGUAUGAAAAAUGCCAUCACUAGCUGUCCUCUUACUUGAUUUGCCUUGAAUGUGUGUGUGAUUCAGUGAACUGCAGGAAAAUUUGCUGCAUUGACUUACUGUCAGCUAAAACUUCAGUUCAUUGAAAUAAAGCUGCCGGGAGUCUGCAUAGUAGCAUUAUUUCAGUGUGCUAGAGUUGACUCAAAAAUUAACUACUCAGGCAGAGAAUACACAAAAAUUUUGGCAACAGUGAAGUCAAAAAGAGCUCAUAUCAUACUAGUGGAUUUUCACAUAAACAAGUAAUGGAAGAACUACUAUAUUUAAUCUUGAGAUCCAGCAAGCUUUCUGGUUUUUGGAUUGGCACAACAAAGAAGGAAAAAAGACUUUUGAGUAACGUGCACGAGCACAGGCUUCCUGAGUUGUCCUGUGAUGAUGUUUUGAAAAAAAAUGGGGGAACUAAUUCAGAAGGUACAGUCAAAAUGAAAAACAAUCAUGCAACAGCUUUCUUUCAAUUAUACUGCAGAGUAAACAAAUCGUUAACUUUUGUGUACAACUUGUUUUUCUAUUUUUGGUAUUGCUGGUCAGUUUUGCAUAUUGCCAAGUGGAUGUAUAUGUCUGUUCUGUAAUUUUGAGUAAACUUCAGUCGCAAAUCGGCA